UACGCCCGAUCUCGUCCGAUCUCGGAAGCUAAGCAGGGUCGGGCUUGGUUAGUACUUGGAUGGGAGACCGCCUGGGAAUACCAGGUGCUGUAAGCUU
rnacentral:rRNA from 1 species